GGGCUUGUAGCUCAGCUGGUUAGAGCGCGUCACUGAUAAUGACGAGGUCAAUGGUUCGAAUCCAUUCAGGCCCA
rnacentral:tRNA from 1 species